rnacentral:rRNA from 1 species
UGCAAGUCGAGCGGCAGCGCGGGGGCAACCUUGGCGGCGAGCGGCGAACGGGUGAGUAAUGUAUCGGAACGUACCCAGUCGUGGGGGAUAACUAUCCGAAAGGAUAGCUAAUACCGCAUACGUCCUGAGGGAGAAAGCGGGGGACCGAAAGGCCUCGCGCGAUUGGAGCGGCCGAUAUCGGAUUAGCUAGUUGGUGAGGUAAAGGCUCACCAAGGCGACGAUCCGUAGCUGGUCUGAGAGGACGACCAGCCACACUGGAACUGAGACACGGUCCAGACUCCUACGGGAGGCAGCAGUGGGGAAUUUUGGACAAUGGGGGCAACCCUGAUCCAGCCAUUCCGCGUGAGUGAAGAAGGCCUUCGGGUUGUAAAGCUCUUUCGGCAGGAACGAAACGGUGUCCCCUAAUACGGGGCGCUAAUGACGGUACCUGAAGAAGAAGCACCGGCUAACUACGUGCCAGCAGCCGCGGUAAUACGUAGGGUGCGAGCGUUAAUCGGAAUUACUGGGCGUAAAGCGUGCGCAGGCGGUUAUGUAAGACAGGUGUGAAAUCCCCGGGCUUAACCUGGGAACUGCGCUUGUGACUGCAUAACUCGAGUGUGGCAGAGGGGGGUGGAUUCCACGUGUAGCA